rnacentral:piRNA from 1 species
UCUAUGCCACACACUUCAUUUCUAUUGAAAGC